GUCAGGAUGGCUGAGCGGUCUAAGACGCUGCGUUCAGGUCUACUGUUGUAGGCGUGGGUUCGAAUCCCACUUCUCACA